UAGGGAAUCUUCCACAAUGGACGCAAGUCUGAUGGAGCAACGCCGCGUGAGUGAAGAAGGCUUUCGGGUCGUAAAACUCUGUUAUUGAAGAAGAACGUGUGUGACAGUAACUGGUCAUGCAGUGACGGUAUUCAAUCAGAAAGUCACGGCUAACUACGUGCCAGCAGCCGCGGUAAUACGUAGGUGGCAAGCGUUGUCCGGAUUUAUUGGGCGUAAAGCGAGUGCAGGCGGUCUUUUAAGUCUGAUGUGAAAGCCUUCGGCUUAACCGAAGAAGGGCAUCGGAAACUGGGAGACUUGAGUGCAGAAGNAGGAGAGUGGAACUCCAUGUGUAGCGGUGAAAUGCGUAGAUAUAUGGAAGAACACCAGUGGCGAAGGCGGCUCUCUGGUCUGUAACUGACGCUGAGGCUCGAAAGCGUGGGUAGCAAACAGGAU
rnacentral:rRNA from 1 species